rnacentral:misc_RNA from 1 species
UACCAAAACCUUGUGAUUUCAAUGAACAAGAACAAGUUGCUGCUGCUGCUACUCGUAAACCCAGUUGGAAAUGCUUCUCUUUUCAUGAAAUUUUUCAUGCCACUAAUGGUUUCAGUUCAGAAAAUAUUGUUGGUCGAGGAGGGUAUGCAUCGGUGUACAGAGGCAUAUUAGAAAAUGGAGAAGCAAUAGCAGUAAAAAUGCUUACAAAAGCGAACGAUGAUGAAAGAAAA